CUGAAAGCACUUGAUUGCUUUGAAAGUUGGCCCAGUUAAAUUUUAGUUAUUAUGAAUUGAUUUUCUGGUAUAUAGAUUAUUGAAAUGUUUCAGUUUUUCUUCCUCUCUAUGGACAAUUUUUGGCUCUGUUGAUAUACCUUGUAUGAAAGAGAACAAAGAGGAAAAAUGAAUUGCACCAUUUCAUUAGGCCUAACCACUCAGUGUUCCUCCAAUUACUUCAGGAGGGAUGGGAGACAUGCACUGGUUAUCUGUAAUUCUUCCUUUUCUCAUGUUUAUCUCCUUUCAUUUGAAGUGGAGAGACAGUCUGCUGGACUGUCAUCUUGUGCCUUUGGACCACCUGAAAGGACAACCUGUCAGAAUGGAGGUCACACUCAUACACAGCUCUUAUGGCUAUGGAAGACUGUCUGGGUCAGGGAUCAAGUUCAUAAUGCUCAAAAGUAAAUUAGGAAAAGUGAUGGGCUUUAUGUUUGCUCUUCUCUUUGUCAGAAAUGCUCUCCCCUUCUUACAAUUCACCUAUCAUGUAAAUUUUACCUCCUCAUCUAGGCUUUCUCUGGGCAGCCAGUCUUUAAUAUCUCCCUCCAAUAUCAUCCAACCCUGCUUAAUUUUCUUCAGAGAAAGUAUUUUUACUCUGAAAUCCCUAGUUACAAUACUACGUGGUUAUAGUUAUCACCAGUUUUAAUGAUAUAUACUAGUCAUAUCACUAAUUACAUAACUAAUGAUAUAUAUAACUAGUGAUAGAUAACAGUUAUCACUAGUUAUAAGUGCAUUGUUAUCACUAGUUAUAAUUGCAUUGAGGACAGGGGUCUUUUCCCUUGUCUCACACUGAAUCCUCAGCUUCGACAAUUAGUGCCUGGUAUACAGAGGUGGUUAUUAAACAUUGGUAAGAUGGAUGAAUGAGUCCAAUUAUAUUCUUUUGAUAGGACUAGUUAAAACAGGCUGUCAGAAACAACUAGAGUUGGCAUAGGUUGCACAAAAUGUAGUAUGCGUUUCACUUUACAAUAAAUAUGUGUGCUAUAUAGUUUAUAGUUCGGCCAAUAAACUUUCUUCUAAUAGUUGUUUUCUUUUUUUUUUUUUUUAAACAUAGUCUCACUCUGUGCCCAGGCUGGAGUGCAGUGGCGCAAUCUUGGCUCACUGCAAGCUCCACCUCCUGGGUUCACGCCAUUCUCCUGCCUCAGCCUUCAGAGUAGCUGGGGCUACAGUUGCCCACCACCAAGCCUGGCUAAUUUUUUUUUGUAUUUUUGGUAAAAACGGGGUCUCACUUUGUUAGCCAGGAUGGUCUCGAUCUCCUCACCUCAUGAUCCGCCCACCUCGGCUUCCCAACUUUCUUCUAAUAGUUUUGAAAGAGAAACUAUGCCCUCCCUCCAUUCU
rnacentral:lncRNA from 1 species